CUGUCACCAUCCUCUGUCCCGAGGACGGGAGGUGAACUCUGUGCCACCAGCAGAGGGGACCACGGGUGACAUCAGUGUGGAACAGCCGUGACGCGGCGGCGUUGUCAUUGGGUGUCACCGUCACGCAGAGGGGACAAAAGGACCCCCCUGGGGGCAUUGCGUCGAAGUUGGGGACACCGUGAGCAGCUUGAGGACUUCCCAGGGGAAGUGGGGGCACCGCGUCACCGUGUCACACCCCAAAGUUGGGGACGGCCCCACAGUGUCACACCCCAAAGUUGGGGACACCUCUGUGUCACCCCAAUGGUGUCCGACCCCAAAGCUGGGGACACUCCACAGUGUCACACCCCAAAGUUGGGGACGCCCCGACAGUGUCACAUCUCAAAUUUGGGACAGCUCUGUGUCCCCCCGAUGGUGUCAGACCCCAAUGUUGGGGACGCCCCCACAGUGUCACAGCCCAAAGUUGGGGUCUGUCCCAGAGGUGGGAGUGCCCCCACAUCCCCACCAUGGCGUCACAUCCCAAAGUUGGGGACCCCCUCUGGGGACCCAUUCAGUGCGUCCCCCAUUGCAGACCGCACUGUUCCCAUGGGGUGGGGGCGGGGAGCACCCUUUAUUUUUGGGAUUAAAGUUUAUUUCGUGAUAAAGGGGCGUUGGGGGAUGCCCCCCCCAAGUGAAUAAAGGGCAGAGGAGCGGCUGUGGGGCUCCGUGUGUCACACCAGGGGGUGCUUUGGGGACACUGCAGCAUCCCAGCCCCAUAGCCCCCAUGGCCCUAUAACCACUACAGCCCCAUCUCGUAGCCAUCCCAUAUCCAUAUCCCAUCCCAUAUCCCAUCCUGUAUCCAUAACCCUUCCAAUAUCCAAACCACCAUAUCCGUCCCACACCCAUAUCCCAAAUCAAUCCCGUAUCCAUAUCCCAAAUCCAUCCCGUAUCCAUAGCCCAUCCCAUGUCCAAAUCCCCGUAUCCCAUCCCAUAUCUCAUCCCCUAUCCAUAUCCCAGCCCAACUCCAUGCCAAAUCUCUUUCUAUAUCCAUAUCACCUUAUCCAUCCCAUAACCAUCCCAAAUCCAUCUCAAAUCCAUAUCUCAUCCCAAACCGAUCCCAUCUCCUUAUCCAUCCCAUAUCAAUGUCCCAUCCCUUAUCCAAUCCCAUACCCCAUCCUAAAGCCAUCCCACAUCCAUACCCGCACAUCCCAUAUCCUAUCCCCAUCCUGUACCCCAUGUCCCAUAUCCAUUUCCAUCCCACAGCCUUCCCAAAUCCAUAUCCCCGCAUCCAUCCCGUGUCCACCCCAUAUCCAUUCCGUAUACUUAUCCCAUCCUAUGAUCAUCCCAAUCCCAUCUCAUAUCCAUAUCCCAUCCCAACUCCACCCCAUAUCGUUCCCAUACCUUUGCCAAGUCUGUCCCGUACCCGUAUACCCACUUCCCGCAUCCCAUUCCCAAUCCCAACCCCAAUCCCAAUCCCAAUCCCACACCUCAUUCCCAAUCCCACAUGCCAAUCCCGUAUCCCGCAUCCCAAUCCCUAUCCCGAAUCCCAAUGCCAAUCCCACAUCCCAGCCCCAUGUACUGUGUGUCAAUCUAUCGCAAUCCCAACUCUCAUAUCGCAGUCCUAACCCCAAUCCCACACCCCAAUCCCAA
ensembl:lncRNA